CCAAGGCCCGGCGCCCGGCCGCACUCACCGAAGUCCAGGAACUGCUUCAUGGAGAGCGGCGACGGCGAGAAGCGCGCGUAGAAGUCCACCUGGCCCGGAAUGCCGAGCUCCGGCGCCGGGCCGGAGCCGGAGUCCGAGGCAUAGCCUUUGAAGCAGAUGAAUCAGCAUGAACAGAUCUCUCUCAAUUUGUUAUCAUAUUUUUCAUCAUUGAUCUUGCGCUCUUCCUUCCGGAUCCUUACCGCAUGGUAUCGGGGAACACUGUCAUCGUACCUGGAGCGUUUAAAGAAUCCACACUGAAGAAGGGGGAAAGAGAAACAAAUUAAUCUCAAGAAAAAAAUGGAAAAUGGACUCAUUGCCAAUUCCUGUUUCCAUGGAUUUACACACAAGAGAAGCAAAACACGAACUUAAAAUCAACUGAGACCCAAGGUCGAAUAAAAUCUGGGAACAUGAAACAAGGUCAAGCUCCAUUACAACAUACUGAAAUAAAAACUGACCAGAGCA